rnacentral:rRNA from 1 species
GACGAACGCUGGCGGCGUGCUUAACACAUGCAAGUCGAACGGUAAGGCCCUUCGGGGUACACGAGUGGCGAACGGGUGAGUAACACGUGGGUGAUCUGCCCUGCACUUCGGGAUAAGCCUGGGAAACUGGGUCUAAUACCGGAUAGGACCCUGGGAUGCAUGUCCUGGGGUGGAAAGCUUUUGUGGUGUGGGAUGGGCCCGCGGCCUAUCAGCUUGUUGGUGGGGUGAUGGCCUACCAAGGCGACGACGGGUAGCCGGCCUGAGAGGGUGACCGACCACACUGGGACUGAGAUACGGCCCAGACUCCUACGGGAGGCAGCAGUGGGGAAUAUUGCACAAUGGGCGCAAGCCUGAUGCAGCGACGCCGCGUGAGGGAUGACGGCCUUCGGGUUGUAAACCUCUUUCAGCACCGACGAAGCGCAAGUGACGGUAGGUGCAGAAGAAGGACCGGCCAACUACGUGCCAGCAGCCGCGGUAA